AGUAGAAUGGCUGAGUGGAUGGAGCGCAGGCCUGGGAGUUUAAAAGGACCUGGGUUCAAAUCCCAGUUCUGCCA
rnacentral:tRNA from 1 species